CCGGAAAGUGGGGCGGCGGAGCGGGGCUCCCCCAAACCGCAGCCGGCCGUCUGUCCGUCCGUCCGUCCGGCGGCGGGGGGCUGCAGGUCUCCCGGUAAAUCCAGAGCCCCCGGCAGGCCCGGCCCCGGGGAGCCGGCGCGGCUCCGACAGAGAAAAGCAUGCUGAGGAUUUUUUGGAGGAGAGAGAAGAGGUCUCAGCAAUGACUAGAACCUCUCGUAUCCAAAUGCCCAUCUCCAUGUAUUUUGGGAGCUGUCCAGGACAGGAGUACAAGAAAACGUUCCAGGACAAAGAGGAGGCUGAGCCUGAGGUUGGAACAAAGUGUAUUUUGCCAAGACAAUUUCUUCACAGGAUCAUGAUGGGGACACAAGGACUCCUUAAUGACUCUUCAAGGAUGUGCUUCAGAAAAAUCAAUCAAGCUGCCUGAUGGGGCAGGUUGGGGGUGGCUUCCUCUUCACCCUUUCUCUUGCCCAGGGCCAUGGUAUGAGUGGGAAGAAUGCCCCUCACAACCCCGACUCUCAGACUCCCAUUUGCCAGCGUAUGGCAUUGUGGACAUUGACCAACUUUAUCCUAUUGAACUCGCCCAAGACCUUAGGACAGUGCUCUGCACGAAAUAGGCAAUCAAUAAAAUCAAUUGAUUGACACCACAGGCCUCCAAGUUUCCUUCAGGUGGCCUGGAAUGGUGCUUCCCUAUGGCUCUGAGCUGAUUAGAGUUGCAAAAGCCACAGACACAUUCUCCCAUCUUAUUUUCAAUGCGGAAAUCAUUUAUGGCAGUAAAUUAUGAAACAUGAAUGUAAAAAGCUGGAUAAAUUUAGAACACACCAAAUAAAGGGGAGCCCCAAAAGAGCACUUUCAGCAAAAAAAUGAAAAUCUCUGCAAGGUCAAGGCCAGGUGAAGAGCCUGGGCAAAAAUGGGGUGAGGCCAAGGGAGCCCAGUCAGGACUUGCCCCUAGAUGGGCCUUGGCCAUGUGGUCAGUGGGAAGAAUGAGAUCCCUUGGGUGUCAGGUCAAAGCAUUAGGGUAAGCCAAGUGAAUGGUUGGGAUAGAGAUGAGAUUAAGACCAUCAGAACUCAUGAAAUCAUAGUGACCCUUUUCCACCUGAAAGAGGGACCUUUCCUCCUGCACCAGGAUGUCUUCCCUGAUUAAUCCAGACAUCCUAGUUGCAUCAAUUCAACACCAAGUAUCUUAUUCCAGUCCUCAGCACUUAGGAUGACUGCGUCACCUCCACAUUUAACAGAAACACCUUACCACUGGCUUUAAAGCAUUCAAUCACCUUGCCCCCUCCUACCUUAUUUCUUUGAUGUACUACAACCCAACCUUUACACUUAGCUCCUCCGAUGUCAAGGUACUCACAGUACCUUGAUCUCGCCUAUCUCACCACUGACCUCUCACAGCAUGUCCUG